GAUGAAGAACGUAGCGAAAUGCGAUAAGUAGUGUGAAUUGCAGAAUUCAGUGAAUCAUCGAAUCUUUGAACGCACAUUGCGCCCCUUGGUAUUCCAUGGGGCAUGCCUGUUCGAGCGUCAUUUGUACCUUCAAGCUCUGCUUGGUGUUGGGUGAUUGUCUAUCUUUAUAGACUCGCCUUAAAGUCAUUGGCAGCCGGCAUAUUGGCCUGGGAGCGCAGCACAAGUCGCGCUUCUUGUCAUGAAUGUUGGCGUCCAGUAAGUCUACAUAUUUUGCUCUUGACCACGGAUCAGGUAGGGAUACCCUUUGAACUUAAGCAUAUCAAUAAGCGGAGGA
rnacentral:misc_RNA from 1 species